rnacentral:lncRNA from 1 species
AAAGAAUAAUCCUGUAACCAGGAAUAGGGCUUUGAGUAAGAACAGUUCAAAUUCAAGGUCUGUUUCUGACACUGGGAGUCGUACGGUACAGAAGAAAACUCAGAAGACAACCAGGCAAGAGCCUGUUAAAGGGAGGGACAGGGCUAAGAGACCUGGGAUCAAAUCAGCUAACGAAGAAGGCAAGUCUGCAGAUAAAUUUCAUGUUUAGCAUCUGUGCCUUUGGGUGCAUGACUUAUGCAUUUGCAAUUUUAUUUACAGAUCAAGUUAGCCCUACGGCUGCAGCUGAGACUGUUGAAGAGGACAAAGAAAAUAUGGUAAGAGUUCUUAUCGGAACAGACUAAUAUAUUGAGCAUACUGCCCUACACUCUUUAAUGUUGUUAUAGCCCCAAAUUUGCAAGGUUUGAACAAGUUUGGAGGGCAGUGAUAAUGAUGCCUGAUUUCUACCUUCACAUGCUACUGACUAUUGAUCUCCUUCCUUUACAGGAUGCUCCUUUGACAGAAGAAAUCAGCGCGACUGAAGAGAUGUAGGUAGUGUGGUGCGCAAAUAUGCUGAACCAUAUUUGUUUCCAUCCUCAGCUGGGUUCUUUUUUGUCAAUUGUGGUUGUGAUUUCAUAUGUAUAGGGGUUAAAUUAAAGUGAAGUGUUCCAAUCUGGUGUGAAGUCAAGACCUCCUGUGUUUUUCUUGGGUUGUUGCUUUAAACUGGGAUUGUUUGUGUCUAGUAUUAUACAAUGACUUGGGAUACAAAAUUGCAUCAAAUCAUUCCAACUUAUUUGUUGUUUUCUUAAUGUUACUAAUAUUUUCAAGGAUAUGAUUGACACAAGAGCUUGUUUGAUCUGAAUCUGUUCAAGGCACGUCAGAAUUAUUACCAUGAUCCAUUGGCAAGCAGUAACUAUCCAAGUCCCACGAGGACAAAAGAUCCAAGUCAACCCCAUUAACCUAAAACGAAAGGAUACAAAACAAACCCAUUAAUUAAGCCAACGGCAUCUGAGAUUUUCGAUUUAGCAAUAAUUCAGUCCCAAAAUUUACACGAAACGAGUGCCCAGGCCAACAGUAAUAAUAACAUAAAAGACUAGAAGAAAAAAGAAUUAGCUAUGAAUGAGAGAGAAAGAAUUACAGGAGGAAUACAUAGUAGAAGAAGAAAACGAACCCAGUGUGGACGGAAUUUCAAUCGGAGUGAGAGGCAUCGUCGUCGCUGGAAUCAGAGAGAGGGUGAUGGGGAGGAUCAAAGCAUAGGUAGAGCCAUAAAGAGUCUGCAAGGCGGCAAAGAUGACGGAGCGGAAGGCAGAGGAGAUGCAAGACUUGGUCGCUGCUUAAGCGCUCUGGGUUACAGGCUAUGUAUUGGCAUACGUUUGCUGACACGUUGGCUACUGUCACCACCACCGAGCUGUUUAACACCAUCGCCUUUUUUCUCUUCCUCUCUUUUUUUUUUUUGUCUUUCCCGUCUCGGCUUUGAGCCAACCUCCCUGCCUUAUUUUGUUCCCUCUGGUCUUUAUAUGACUUGCUUGUUACUACUUUGUUCAUAACAGAGUGAAACUACGUCGUAUUAUGAUUAUCCAUUCUGUUAUAAUU